ACCCACCAAAUUGGAUAGGCCCAAAUAAGAGUUAGUCAACUUCAGCCCAAGAAAUGAGACUAUGUGAAGGAAUGAGUUACUAUUAAUACUGUAAUAGGGUUAUUUUGUGAGUUAUGUGAAUUGUGAAGUUUGUUAUUCUCUCCCUCUAAACUCUCUAUGUUCACAUCUUGUAUCCUUCCAGUCACUAGAGUUGGAUUUAAUUUCCA
rnacentral:lncRNA from 1 species